rnacentral:misc_RNA from 1 species
AGCAGCCGCGGUAAUUCCAGCUCCAAUAGCGUAUAUUAAAGUUGUUGCAGUUAAAAAGCUCGUAGUUGAAUUUCGGGAUCAAUAUGUUGGUCGUGCCUCGGUACGUACUAGCUUAUUGGUUUCUCCUUUCUGAAGAACCAUGAUGUCAUUUAUUUGGUGUCGUGGGGAAUCAGGACUGUUACUUUGAAAAAAUUAGAGUGUUUAAAGCAGGCUCACGCUUGAAUACAUUAGCAUGGAAUAAUGAAAUAGGACGUUUGAUUCUAUUUUGUUGGUUUCUAGAAUCGACGCAAUGAUUAAUAGGGAUAGUUGGGGGCAUUAGUAUUCAAUUGUCAGAGGUGAAAUUCUUGGAUUUAUUGAAGACUAACUACUGCGAAAGCAUUUGCCAAGGAUGUUUUCAUUAGUCAAGAACGGAAGUUAGGGGAUCGAAGACGAUCAGAUACCGUCGUAGUCUUAACCAUAAACUAUGCCGACUAGGGAUCGGAUGGUGUUAAUUUUUUAAUGACUCA